CUUGGUUGUGCGAUGCUGUGUGCAGCUUCCGUAGUUUGAGACGAGCGGCCACAUUGGAGAUGUUUGUUCAGCGGUGACGACAAGGCGGAUUUUUGUUCAACAUUCACGGCUUGGUAAACGAAGCCUUCUAAUGGUGAGCGUAUGAUUUUCCAUUAGCAGUGACCGUCUGGGCUGUCCCAUUCGGCUCUGCAACAACAGGGCUCAGUUAAGUGUCAGCGAAACGUCAAUGCAAGUGUAAAAGUUGUUUAGCUGUAGAGCUAGACAGAUGAAGAUGGCAAGCUUCAAGAGGAGCUACGCGCCUUUGUCUCCGAGUAGCUUUAGUUAGGCUUAACUGAGCCCACAUUUCGUUCGUCACAGACCAACGGCUCGUGUAGUUAGUGACGAAUGGAAUGUUUUUUUUUUUUUUUUUUUUUUUUUUGUUCUUGCGUCAACUGAAGAGGAACUCCGCACUUCAGUUCGUAAGCCAAAUGGGUGUUACGGUAAAGGUAGGCAAGAACUUCUGUAUCCACCUUCGAUUCCAAUUCCAUCGUCGUUAGGGUUAGCUUACGGUCGCGGUGUUAGGCAUGCAAUCUGUUGUGGCGUUUCCCCGUUUUCUUCGUAUUUUUAUCUUCUCGUUGUGAUUGGGCUACGUUUGAAAAUAAAGUACAUGUGCUCCUUCCUUGUAUGUCAUUUUUCUCGCCACCCCCUUGACGCAAACAUUCACUAGCUUACUGUUGAGGCAGUGAUAUACUGCGACCACCCCCCGUUGUCUGUCUUGCUUUGUCAUUUGGGUACAUUAGUGUUCAAUUGUACUUGAUUAUUGCAAUAAAUGCUUGCUUCCUUGUUUCGCCCUUCUUUCAUCGGUCCCCGGCACACAAACAUGCAUUAGCUCACUGGUUGAGGCAGGUAAAUUUUGAAUCCCCCCUUGCCUUCCAGAUCGUCUGCUACACCAGUCUUCUCCGAAGAGACUGCAAGGACGUCCACCAAUGAGGCGCACCACCUCGCGAAGUAUAUUGUGUAUUGUAACGAUAUUUGCUAAUUUGCUUCUAUCUGCAGGCUGUGGGCCCUUGGGUGAGGACGCAGGAACCAUUAAAUCCCGGUGUGCCCUCUUCAUUCCUGAAAGGAUGACAUGUAGCUGGUGAAGAUGCAUCAUACAAGCCGCCGUGUUGUCCUUGUUUUCCUCAAGGUUUUAUGUAUAAUAUUGUUUUUCAAUUGUUGCGAAUUAAAUGAUCGAGAAAUUUC